AAGGGACCGAAACAAAGUCCUUUUUUAGAAAUGAAAGGGCAAGUCUUGUCAGAAGAUGGAAGCUGAACACAGACAGCUUAAAACAUAUGGACCUCUCCUUGCCUUGGGUCUGCUUCUUCAAAAUGGAUCUUUCUUCAUUGAAAUCAGCUGCUCUUUUGCUUACAGUGGUCUCAGGAUUCACUUUCUCUUGACCUCUUAUAUGAAUUGGCAGAACAAUGAAUCAUUUAUUGUGCACAGGAAUUGGAGCCAUAAAGAUACCAUGAUGUUAAUAGAUUUGUUUCAGAGUUUACGAGGUCAAACUUGUUGGUCUUCCCAUAUGACUAAAACUGUAAAAAUCUGGAACCACCCCAGUUUAUCUUGGGCAUAAAAUAAAUGCCACUGAAGAACUGCACAUCAAUAAAUUUCCUCUGAUUUAUUUCUUAUUGGGUAACAUGUUCUACUUUCUCCAUAAAAGCAGAUAAAGGUAACUGUAAUUAAAAUGUCUAUUUCCUUCUCUA